CUGCCACUAGUUUUUCAUGUUUUUGUUUGUUUUGUUUUGUUUUUGUUACAGGAGAGUUCUAGCAGCUGCUAAGAAACUCUUGAUACUGUAUAUUUCCAGCAUAACUAGCCCCUUCCCAGGGAAAAGAAACAAAUACCAUGUAGGAAUAGAAAUGUAAGAGAUGAGGGUCUGUCCCUUAAAAAAGCAACACAUACUCAUUAGUACUUAAGGUAAUAAAAUUACUGAAUGGAAUGUAAACCGUGCAAGAGGUUAAGGAUCUUAUUAUGCAGGUGAGAUUGCUAAGCAGAGACAAAAAUAUGGUAUCUAUUCUUCAAAAUACUUAAAACAACAUAAAAAGAUUUGAGGAUCCUUGGAAUAAGAAGCAUAUACAAAGAAAAUUACUAAAAUAAAGGAUGAAACUCCUGUUUGCUAAGGAUACUUGUUGAACUUGUACAUUAUGAAAGGAAUAUAAUAUGUUGUUACCCAUUGUAUCAAAGCAAGUUUUCAGGUGGUUGAAAUUUUUCAUCCCUUAGUCUCUAUUCCAUAGUUGGACUCUAGAGAAUGUAUAUGAUCCUCACAUUCCACAUUAGAAUAUAAGUUUGGUAGGAACUGAAUCUUCAUCAUUAAGCAGCCUCAGAUUCUUCCAAGUGCAGAAUCUGGCACUUGGAAUCUAUUUUUUCAACAGAGAUGUCAUAAAUUAAUGUCUAUGAGCUUCUUGAUUGCUAUCUACAAGUUGUAUUACUCCUACCACUAGUCCAGAUAGCUAAAUUAAUAAUCCUGUUGGAUGGAUUUCACUCACAUUUUUUAUCUGCACAUUGGGAGUGUCUGUCUAAAAUAAUUUUGGUUUUGGCACAGGAGAUAUUAAACUGACAGUAUUUAGCCAGCAGGCUAGUGGCUUAUUAAGGCAGCUCUUCAAACCUAAUGAGAAAUCCAUGUCAUCAGCACAGAAGUAGGUGCUUGUCUUCUCAUUUCCUGUGGCAGAAAGGUAUUCAUUCAGAUCAUUUGAAAGUUGUAUCAAAUUAUUUUGAAAUAAAUUAAAAAGAAGGAAGGCUAGGACACAAGUCUCUUUCUAGGCUUUUGAUUGGAAUUUGAUGUUGAGAGCCUAUUCCUACUUGCUCUGAUUCUCACAGUGGUAUUAUGGUUCAAACUUUGAAGGAACCUUCAUAGCCUGAGAUCUGUGCUGAGAUCACAUAGUUUGGCCCUUCGUGAUUCCUGUCUGUAGAAUCAAAGCCUAACUGUAGAUCAGUACUGCUGACAAAGGCUUUACAUUGUUCUCAAAUAUUUUCCUGGUAAGGCAAAAAUUUCUCUACAAAGCACAGGGUAAAAAAUUGGGUAGAUGUUUAGCAAUGGUCAACAAUAGAAUAGCUUUAUCUGAGACCCAUGUUUCUCUCAUAAAGGAUAUUAUGUCCAGGGCCCCAGUUUUAUAGGAUUCCCAAGGAUAAUCAUCCCCAGGGAGGUUUACAUUCACUCUGUAUAAAUUAAGAGUUGUUUGAACAUAUUGGAGAUUUUUAAAAAUGCUUUUGGCAAAACCAACCCUCCUCUCAAGUCAAAUUAUUUGGAUUCAUCUUUCUAAAUCCUAGAAUUUAGUGUAGUACCUUUGUACUCAGAAUUACCAGGUGUGUUUUACAGGUUAUGAUUCCUUGAGAUGUAAGGGAAUCAUACAUUACUUUCCAAAAUAUCCAACUAAAUCUAACAUUGAAACAGGGAAGGUGAUGGCUCCCUUAUUUGAAAAGUCCUGAGGGAUGGCUAAUAUCAGUCUAAGCUGGAUGCAGUGGCUCAGAUGAUGUUGCUGUUUCUUUCUACUCUGUGCCCUGUUGUGUUGACUUCAGCUUGGUCCUCACAGUUUUCCUUCUUAUCCAUGGAGGUGCUGCCCUUCACUAUACUUUCGCACCUGGUACUUCAUCAAGAGAUAAAUGGGAGCAUUAAUCAAUUUCCAGUGGUUCUCUGAAUUGAAAUCAUGACUUUUUCAUUUAUAGACUCUCUUAAAUGAGCAACAGUUACUUAGAUCCAUGAUUUUAUCUAAUCCUGACAACCAUCCCAUGAAAUAGGAAAAGCUGUAGUCAUUGUCUUCACAGAGUCAGGGAGUUAAUUUCUUGACUGAGGUCCCUGUUAACAAGAGUUUAAACAUAAAGAAAUUUUCUCAUCCUAGAUCUUAUGCACUGUUACUUCUAUCAGAAUACACCUAAAUUCCUCAGGAAAUGAGGUGACGCUAUAAUGCAACAGGAGCCCAGUUUUGAUUGGGGUUGAUUGUACUGUUCUGGCAUGUGCUAGCAAUGAUCCUGACUGCUCCUCUGAUGAUGGCACCUCCUGUUGCACAUUUGAAAAGGAAAGGAUAAAAAGGUGCAUGAAAAUAAAUAAAACAAAGAUACGUUGACAGAUAGUGCUUUAAAGGAAAAUGAGAUGAAACAGUCAAAGUAGACGAGGUGAAAACACAGAAUUCAACUGAACAGACAGAAUAUCUUCAAAGGCCUAAGUGAAGUCUUUUGUCUGAAUUUAAAAUAGCUAAAAGCAAGAAGUUAGUGCACUGUCAGAGAAAGACUGAGGGCUAUGGUAGCAAUCAAAGAGCGGGAUUUUGCUGAAGACUAUAGGUGGAAUUUCUUAAUCUAUUGUUAGCAAACAUUUUUUGGUUAGUGAGGAUAGAAGUAGAGAAAGAACCAAAGACACAAAGAAGAGAAAGCUUUUUACAAACGUUAGAACUUAAAUAGAGGUGAAAAACAGAAAUUUUGACAAUUUUUUUACAAAAAUUUUGCAAAUUUGGAUUUCUUGUAAAUCUGAACCAAUAUAACGUAAAGCUUAGUGACAAGGUAACUGUAACCAACAUUUUGAUUAAGAGUGAAAGCAUUACCUGCUGUGAGAAAGAAUAAGCUCUUUUAGGAAUGUAGGUAUUAGCUAAUGGUCAUUUCCAGCCCCAACCAGAAAACAGAAGUAUUUGGAACUCCUGUCAAAAAUACAAAUGCUCUAGGUUUAUCCCUGGAUAUUUAGAUUCACUCCUUUGAGUGGCCAAGAAGAAUUGGUAUUUUUAACUUGGGCCUUCCUUAAGAAAUCCUUAGAAAUUGGGCCUGUCCUUAGGAACGUUCAUAGAAGUCUCAUCAGUGAAAAAGAAAAAAAAAGAUAUAUACAGAAAGGCCAGUGUCUAUUCUAGUAAAACAAUUUUGAAUUUAGAAUUGAGAUUGUGUUGUGAAAUUCUCAAGUGACUAUCCAUAACAUUGUCAACAUAUGCAGAGUCUUUGUUAGAUUUCUAUCUAUGGCUCAGAUAAAUUAUGACUGUUAUAAAAGCCUAUUUUUUCCAGAAUAUUGAUUUGCCCAUUUUAUCAAAUGUGGUCAAAUGUGAAGGCAAAUGUGAUGUUUUGGCCUGAUCAGACAUCCUGGCCACCUCCGCAACCUAAUGCUUCUGUGAGUUAAGCUUAAUGUGUUUCCGUACUUAUCUUGAUCCUUACAGUAACAGAGAUGAAUAGUAAAACUGAUUAUGUUUAUGGUACUUUCAUCUUCAAAAUGCUUUGGAAAUAUUAGCUAAUUUAUGUCCCUCUGUACAAAAUGUAGUACAAACCUUAUGACUGAAGGGGAAGAAAAUCUGUCAGAUCUGCUCUGGGAGCUGUCUCACAGCGUGCUGGGUUCGGCAGGUCCAGCACUUUAUCCAACUGUCAGUGGACAUUGACAGAGAGCAGACAGAAUUUGGCAAGAAGACGCAAGAGAGCCCAAGAGCCAGUGGAACAGAGCCAGCCUUCAUUUGACAGUCUGCUUUUUUACCAAACUGGAUAAAACAAGUGUGUUAUAGGGCAGAUUCAAGUCCAAAUCAAGAAAAGGAAGAGCCAGCUACUGAGAACUGUUCAGCCCCCACUACAAAAUUUUGUUGACUUUGCAAGGAGAGAAAGGACUUUUGUAAGAGAAAAAAAUACUUUUGUAUUUAAAUGAAAUUUUCUUUCGACUGGAUAGUCUUUUUUUAGGGCCACACCCAUGCCAUAUGGAAACUCCCAGGCCAGGGGUUGAACUGGAGCUGUAGCUACUGGCCUACACCACAGCCACAGCAGCACUAGAUCCGAGCCACAUCAGUGACCUACACCAUAGCUCACAGCAAUGUCAGAUCCUUAACCCACUGAGUGAGGCCAGGGAUCGAAUCCACAUCCUCAGUGAUAUUAGUUGGGUUCCUUACCUCUGAACCAUGAUGGGAACUCCUGACUGGAUUUAUUUUUGUUCUUUGGUUUAACAAUCACACAAACUGAUCUGAAAGUCUCCCUUUUGUGAGGGCAUUAUAAAAUAUUAUAGUCUAGUUAUGGUCUAGAUCCCCAAAUAACCACAGAUUUCUCUAAGUUUCUACCUGGGUUUCAAAGUUGUGUUUCUAUCAAACUGAAUCAUACUUCCUACAACUUUUGCUUGGCUACUCCACAGCCAAGUUCAUGUUCUAGUUUUUCUUUCACGAUGUCUCUAGACCAAUCUGACAGAAAGGUGAAACUUGAAUGAGGUAUGAUUUGUAGUGUUUCCUCUGUAUAACAGUUCUCUCACUAAAACAUUGGUUCACGCAUUUAUUUAUUCAGUCAGUCAAAAAUUUCUAUUGAUGGAAUAAUGUAUACAGGACACUGCACAUGGUUACAGAAUGACUACUCAGAAAAAAAAUGUCUCCUCUUUUGAUUAUUCAAUAUGUACUGAAAAAAUAAUGAGUGCCUAAUGUGUACUGGUCACAUUUAAGUUGCAUUAUUUCUCUUACCUUUUUGCAUAAUCGUUUUAUUACUAUGUGAAGAGCUUCAGGGUUGAAAAGUUGUAUAAACAUCUGAUACUGUCCAUCUGCUUCUAUAUCCUGUAUCCUUCUAAACUGGACCAAAUUCUUUCUUUACUUGGUUCUUACUCUAUAGGUUACGUAGUCUUAGGAUAC
rnacentral:lncRNA from 1 species